GAUGAAGAACGUAGCGAAAUGCGAUAAGUAGUGUGAAUUGCAGAAUUCAGUGAAUCAUCGAAUCUUUGAACGCACAUUGCGCCCCUUGGUAUUCCAUGGGGCAUGCCUGUUCGAGCGUCAUUUGUACCUUCAAGCUCUGCUUAGUGUUGGGUGUUUGUCUCGCCUCUGCGUGUAGACUCGCCUCAAAACAAUUGGCAGCCGGCGUAUUGAUUUCGGAGCGCAGUACAUCUCGCGCUUUGCACUCAUAACGACGACGUCCAAAAGUACAUUUUUACACUCUUGACCUCGGAUCAGGUAGGGAUACCCGCUGAACUUAAGCAUAUCAAUAAGCGGAGGA
rnacentral:misc_RNA from 1 species